AACGAACGCUGGCGGCAUGCCUAACACAUGCAAGUCGAACGAGACCUUCGGGUCUAGUGGCGCACGGGUGCGUAACGCGUGGGAACCUGCCCUUAGGUUCGGAAUAACUCCCCGAAAGGGGUGCUAAUACCGGAUAAUGUCUUCGGACCAAAGAUUUAUCGCCUUUGGAUGGGCCCGCGUUGGAUUAGCUAGUUGGUAGGGUAAAAGCCUACCAAGGCGACGAUCCAUAGCUGGUCUGAGAGGAUGAUCAGCCACACUGGGACUGAGACACGGCCCAGACUCCGACGGGAGGGAGCAGUGGGGAAUAUUGGACAAGGGGGGAAAGGCUGAUGCAGCAGUGGCGGGUGAGUGAGGAAGGCCGUAGGGUGGGAAAGCGCUUUGAGCCGGGAUGAUAAUGACAGUACCGGGAGAAUAAGCGGCGGCUAACGCCGUG
rnacentral:rRNA from 1 species